rnacentral:tRNA from 2 species
GGCGCCAUAGCCAAGUGGUAAGGCAGAGGUCUGCAACACCUUUAUCCCCAGUUCAAAUCUGGGUGGCGCCU